UACGGAGGGUGCAAGCGUUAAUCGGAAUUACUGGGCGUAAAGCGUGCGCAGGCGGUUUGUUAAGUCUGUUGUGAAAUCCCCGAGCUCAACUUGGGAAUUGCAAUGGAUACUGGCAGGCUGGAGUAUGGUAGAGGAAGGUGGAAUUCCCGGUGUAGCAGUGAAAUGCGUAGAGAUCGGGAGGAACACCAGUGGCGAAGGCGACUUACUGGACACAUAUUGACGCUGAGGUGCGACAGCGUGGGGAGCAAACAGG
rnacentral:rRNA from 1 species